rnacentral:tRNA from 1 species
GCGGUAGUAGUCUAGAGGUAGGACACGUCCCUGCCACGGACGAGACUCGGGUUCGAAUCCCGACUACCGCA